UACAGAGGGGGCAAGCGUUGUUCGGAAUUACUGGGCGUAAAGGGCGCGUAGGCGGCCGCCUAAGUCAGACGUGAAAUCCCUCGGCUCAACCGGGGAACUGCGUCUGAUACUGGAUGGCUUGAGUUUGGGAGAGGGAUGCGGAAUUCCAGGUGUAGCGGUGAAAUGCGUAGAUAUCUGGAGGAACACCGGUGGCGAAGGCGGCAUCCUGGACCAACACUGACGCUGAGUGAGCGAAAGCCAGGGGAGCAAACGGG
rnacentral:rRNA from 1 species